rnacentral:tRNA from 1 species
AAGUCACCCGUGCAAAUCGGGUCGCUCUGA